CUGAUCUGGGAUGGCGUAUGUUGCGAGGUUCGAACAUAGCCUGACCCGAAGAGUCUAAUAUGGUGUCUGAGUCAAGUGGGGGGGUCUGCGUCUGCAGGAUCCUCGCUCCUCUCUGUCUGGGCCGCACCCAGGAGGGUCUCACGCAUAAAAGCGUAGAUAGACUUAUCGUCCAAACCCCAAGCGUCAUAGUCAGUCAGAUAGGUCUGCCUGCC